GUCUGAUGGUUGACUGCAGGCAUCCAAAUCUGUAUUCGUCACGACUAGUGGAGCCUCUCAGGAGACAGCUAUAUCAGAACUUGCACAGAAUUAUAAAUACCAGCAUUGAGGAGAAGCCCAUAAAACGCCCUCUUAAAGAAGAUGGAAAGAUCUCCCAUCCUCAUGGCUAGGUAGAAUUCACAUAAUGAAACUAUCUUACCAACAGCAAACCACAGAUUCAUUGCAACCUGCAUCAAAAUACCAAUGUAAUUUUUACACACUUUGAAAGAACAAUCCUUGCCUUGAUGUGGAAAAACAAAAUCCCAGAAUAGGCAAAAGCAAAUAUGAACAAUAAAAGAACUUAUUGUGAA